AGACUGCGCCCGGAGAAGACGCCGCUUUUCAGCGAUGGACGGGGGUUCGAUUCCCCCCAUCUCCA
rnacentral:tRNA from 1 species